AGUGAACGCUGGCGGUAGGCCUAACACAUGCAAGUCGAACGGCAGCACAGUAAGAUCUUGCUCUUACGGGUGGCGAGUGGCGGACGGGUGAGGAAUACAUCGGAAUCUACUUUUUCGUGGGGGAUAACGUAGGGAAACUUACGCUAAUACCGCAUACGACCUACGGGUGAAAGCAGGGGAUCUUCGGACCUUGCGCGAUUGAAUGAGCCGAUGUCGGAUUAGCUAGUUGGCGGGGUAAAGGCCCACCAAGGCGACGAUCCGUAGCUGGUCUGAGAGGAUGAUCAGCCACACUGGAACUGAGACACGGUCCAGACUCCUACGGGAGGCAGCAGUGGGGAAUAUUGGACAAUGGGCGCAAGCCUGAUCCAGCCAUACCGCGUGGGUGAAGAAGGCCUUCGGGUUGUAAAGCCCUUUUGUUGGGAAAGAAAAGAAGCAGGUUAAUACCCCGCUGUUCUGACGGUACCCAAAGAAUAAGCACCGGCUAACUUCGCG
rnacentral:rRNA from 1 species